rnacentral:rRNA from 1 species
CCUACGGGAGGCAGCAGUAGGGAAUAUUCCACAAUGAGCGAAACUUGNAUGGAGCGACACAGCGUGCAGGAUGAAGGUCUUCGGAUUGUAAACUGCUGUUAUAAGGGAAGAAAAACUAGUAGAGGAAAUGCUAUUAGCCUGACGGUACCUUAUCAGAAAGGACCGGNAACKAUGURCMAC